AAUUGAAUGAAGAACACUGUUAAUAAAGAGCAUUAUAAAAAGUGCCGGAGACAAUCUAGUCGUAGCAAUACUAUGUAAGAAAAUAUUGAACCCAACUGUCCAUUCCAUUGUGAAAUCCUUACUCCGAUUGAUGGUUAUGGGGCCUACGGCUGGCGAGAAAGAUGAUGUGCGCGCUGUUGCUACUUACCAGAUGUCUGAAGAAGCACUGCUGUAAUAACGAGAAAAAUCCAGCCAAAGCGUAUAGAUGACAUCUUUUGCCCUGAAUAGUUACGGAAUGAGUAUUUUGAACUGAAGAAUCAUCGGGCGUCAGCCGUAUUUUCAAACGCGUGUCAAUCUCCUCUCAGCAGUAUUCGAGAUUUCGACUCAAGAUGUUAGUGACCAUUACGGCGCGUCAAUGCGAUUACUACCUCAAAGAACAUAAAUAUUUGAUGCUCUUUCCACCUCCAUAUGUGUCUCCCCACAUGGUCUUCCCACUUCCCUUUUAACACGGAAUGCCAGCCAAGCAAAAUACAGCUGCUAGCAGGAAAUUCCCAGCAUAGGAACGGGGUUGCGUUAUUUUUCUUUUCUAAUCUGGCUCCUACGAGCAAGGGUCAGCAAGCAUUUUUUUUUAACCCGGGUUAAAACGGUGAGCCUGGGCUCGAUACUUCACUUUAUUCCUUUAGAAUUCUUCAUUUUUCUCGGGAGUUCCUUUAUCUUAAUAUCAAUCUUGAAUGUCGCAGUAAACGUUAUCUCUGUACUGAAUAAAUACAAAUUAAAAUAUCAGAAAACGAAUGGAGAAGUGUAGAAGUCCGCUCGUAAGGCCUCACAGGAUUGGCUAGAUUACCCUCAUUGUUCUAUUGUAUUCCCGUUCUUCGUCUGUGUUGCAUCAAUCCAAACCAAUCCAAUGUGGUGAAAUCUUCCCAACGAAUGAGCAAAAGGAGAGCGAGGGUGAGCAAGGAAUAUGAACUUGACCGAACAACAAAGAACGGGGGUGAGAAAAGGGAAACAAGGGUGAACAAUGGAAUUGUAACUGGUAGACAGUAAAAAAAAAUAUUAAAUUCGAGUAAUGGCCGAGAAUCGAACCUCGUGCAGAUCAGGUAAAAUAA